AUUGAACGCUGGCGGCAUGCCUUACACAUGCAAGUCGAACGGUAACAGGUCUUCGGAUGCUGACGAGUGGCGAACGGGUGAGUAAUACAUCGGAACGUGCCUAGUAGUGGGGGAUAACUACUCGAAAGAGUGGCUAAUACCGCAUGAGAUCUACGGAUGAAAGCAGGGGAUCGCAAGACCUUGUGCUACUAGAGCGGCCGAUGGCAGAUUAGGUAGUUGGUGGGAUAAAAGCUUACCAAGCCGACGAUCUGUAGCUGGUCUGAGAGGACGCUCAGCCACACUGGGACUGAGACACGGCCCAGACUCCUACGGGAGGCAGAAGUGGGGAAUUUUGGACAAUGGGCGAAAGCCUGAUCCAGCAAUGCCGCGUGCAGGAUGAAGGCCUUCGGGUUGUAAACUGCUUUUGUACGGAACGAAAAGCCCUGGGUUAAUACCCUGGGGUCAUGACGGUACCGUAAGAAUAAGCACCGGCUAACUACGUGCCAGCCGCCGCCGUAACAC
rnacentral:rRNA from 1 species